GCGGGUAUAGUACAACGGCUAGUAUGACUGCCUUCCAAGCAGUAGAUGGCGGUUCGAUUCCGCUUACCCGCUCCA
rnacentral:tRNA from 1 species